AACGAACGCUGGCGGCAUGCCUAACACAUGCAAGUCGAGCGAGGACUUCGGUCCUAGCGGCGGACGGGUGAGUAACGCGUGGGAACGUGCCCUUUGCUUCGGAAUAGCCCUGGGAAACUGGGAGUAAUACCGGAUGAGCCCUUUGGGGGAAAGAUUUAUCGGCGAAGGAUCGGCCCGCGUUGGAUUAGGUAGUUGGUAGGGUAAUGGCCUACCAAGCCGACGAUCCAUAGCUGGUUUGAGAGGAUGAUCAGCCACACUGGGACUGAGACACGGCCCAGACUCCUACGGGAGGCAGCAGUGGGGAAUCUUAGACAAUGGGGGAAACCCUGAUCCAGCCAUGCCGCGUGAGCGAUGAAGGCCUUAGGGUUGUAAAGCUCUUUCAGCUGGGAAGAUAAUGACGGUACCAGCAGAAGAAGCCCCGGCUAACUCCGUG
rnacentral:rRNA from 1 species